rnacentral:rRNA from 1 species
GAUGAACGCUGGCGGCGUGCCUAAUACAUGCAAGUCGAGCGAACAGACGAGGAGCUUGCUCCUCUGACGUUAGCGGCGGACGGGUGAGUAACACGUGGAUAACCUACCUAUAAGACUGGGAUAACUUCGGGAAACCGGAGCUAAUACCGGAUAAUAUAUUGAACCGCAUGGUUCAAUAGUGAAAGACGGGUUUGCUGUCACUUCUAGAUGGAUCCGCGCCGCAUUAGCUAGUUGGUAAGGUAACGGCUUACCAAGGCAACGAUGCGUAGCCGACCUGAGAGGGUGAUCGGCCACACUGGAACUGAGACACGGUCCAGACUCCUACGGGAGGCAGCAGUAGGGAAUCUUCCGCAAUGGGCGAAAGCCUGACGGAGCAACGCCGCGUGAGUGAUGAAGGUCUUCGGAUCGUAAAACUCUGUUAUUAGGGAAGAACAAAUGUGUAAGUAACUAUGCACGUCUUGACGGUACCUAAUCAGAAAGCCACGGCUAACUACGUG